rnacentral:rRNA from 1 species
GACGAACGCUGGCGGCGUGCCUAAUACAUGCAAGUCGAGCGGAUGGAAGGAAGCUUGCUUCCUAAGUCAGCGGCGGACGGGUGAGUAACACGUGGGCAACCUGCCCCUAAGAUCGGGAUAACUUCGGGAAACCGGAGCUAAUACCGGAUAUGAUUAUGUCUCACAUGAGACAUAAUGGAAAGACGGUUUCGGCUGUCACUUAGGGAUGGGCCCGCGGCGCAUUAGCUAGUUGGUGAGGUAACGGCUCACCAAGGCGACGAUGCGUAGCCGACCUGAGAGGGUGAUCGGCCACACUGGGACUGAGACACGGCCCAGACUCCUACGGGAGGCAGCAGUAGGGAAUCUUCCGCAAUGGACGAAAGUCUGACGGAGCAACGCCGCGUGAGUGAAGAAGGUUUUCGGAUCGUAAAACUCUGUUGUUGGGGAAGAACAAGUACCAUAGUAACUGAUGGUACCUUGACGGUACCUAACCAGAAAGCCACGGCUAACUACGUGCCAGCAGCCGCCGUAA